rnacentral:rRNA from 1 species
ACGCACGCUGGCGGCGUGCUUAACACCUGCAAGUCGAACGGAAAGGCCCUGCUUUUGUGGGGUGCUCGAGUGGCGAACGGGUGAGUAGCACGUGAGUAACCUGCCCUUGACUUUGGGAUAACUUCAGGAAACUGGGGCUAAUACCGGAUAGGAGCUCCUGCUGCAUGGUGGGGGUUGGAAAGUUUCGGCGGUUGGGGAUGGACUCGCGGCUUAUCAGCUUGUUGGUGGGGUAGUGGCUUACCAAGGCUUUGACGGGUAGCCGGCCUGAGAGGGUGGCCGGCCACAUUGGGACUGAGAUACGGCCCAGACUCCUACGGGAGGCAGCAGUGGGGAAUAUUGCACAAUGGGCGGAAGCCUGAUGCAGCAACGCCGCGUGCGGGAUGACGGCCUUCGGGUUGUAAACCGCUUUCGCCUGUGACGAAGCGUGAGUGACGGUAAUGGGUAAAGAAGCACCGGCUAACUACGUG